rnacentral:lncRNA from 1 species
GUGUGGAAACAAAAAUUGGCAAUAAAUAAAAUGUGAAAUUAUUACCUAAUGUUGAGUAAUUAAAAGGAGGUAAUGGCAUAUAUGAGUAUUAUAUAUUAUGAGUUAAAAUAAAGAUAAUAUUGUUCCCUCUAGAUUUCUUGGAAAAAUUAUCUUCUUUUGAGUCUAAAUUAUGUUGGCAGCGUUGUAGCUAUAGAUGUUGACAAAUCAAGAAGAUUCAUGUAACCUCAGAGCAGUUCUCUGGUUUCUGGCACAGGUACAAAAGAUUCAGGCUCAUCAAAUUUGUGGUAUUCGACGGAAAACUUUGUUGGAAAAUCAUCAAUCCUAAAGUAUCUCCAUGGAAUGCUGAAGCCCUUUGGAAUUGUUCAAGUUCAGAGAUCUGUUUCAACCUCUUCUAACUUCAUUUUUUCCUUAUUUGCUGCUUAACUAAUGGUGUACCACACCAGAACAAUUUGACAAAAAUAUAGUAAUUAUUGUUACUAUCUAAUUUUUCCUUUAUUAUUUUUUUAAGAAAGAAUAAAGUUUGUUGGUUAUCUCCAUAAAAAUUAUGUGUGAUAUGUAUAUUGAAGUCAAUCAAGGCAACAUAUUAUAUAUUUUUGUAUAUGAAAG